rnacentral:tRNA from 1 species
GGGCGGGUGGCGGAAUUGGCAGACGCCUGGGACUUAAAAUCCCAUGUCCUUUACCGGACGUGAGGGUUCAAUUCCCUCCCCGCCCA